rnacentral:siRNA from 1 species
GGACUCGUCUUGGUCGCGUUGAC